UACGAAGGGUGCAAACGUUGCUCGGAAUUAUUGGGCGUAAAGCGCGCGCAGGCGGUCCUUUAAGUCUGAUGUGAAAGCCCACGGCUCAACCGUGGAGGGUCAUUGGAAACUGGGGGACUUGAGUACAGAAGAGAAGAGUGGAAUUCCACGUGUAGCGGUGAAAUGCGUAGAGAUGUGGAGGAACACCAGUGGCGAAGGCGACUCUUUGGUCUGUAACUGACGCUGAGGCGCGAAAGCGUGGGGAGCAAACAGG
rnacentral:rRNA from 1 species